CAUGCCUGCAGGCUCACGAGGGGACUUCAUUGGCCACCAGCAUGACCCAGUGACACUGGGCAGAGUCUUCUGAUAGCUUCCGUGAACUUAACGAUUUUCUUGUAGGAAAAAACUACAGGUCUUCUAUGAGGCAGGUGAGCACCAUCAACCCUUGGAAGCGGAC